GCGGGCGUGGCGAAAUUGGCAGACGCGCGAGGUUUAGGUCCUCGUGUCGAGAGACGUGGGAGUUCGAGUCUCCCCGCCCGCA
rnacentral:tRNA from 1 species